rnacentral:lncRNA from 1 species
CUCUUCAUAACAGACUCCUCUUGGCUCCGAAUGGCCCACUGACAGACGGUUACAAACGUCGCUAUCAAUCUAUUGCACCCUCCACCUAUAAAAAGGAGACCCCAGAUACGUUAUCUUCUAAGCCCUCAUUUUCUAUCUCAAUACUCUGCUAAAAUUUUCGUUCGAGCACUCCAUUCUUGUUGAGACAGAGAACUGACUUGAGCGUCGGAGGGUCUUGCCAGAGCACCCUCAACUCCGGUUUAGACUUUCUUUGCAGGUUCCGACGGCGAUCGUGACUCCCUCGAC